UACAGAGGGGGCAAGCGUUAUUCGGAAUUAUUGGGCGUAAAGGGCGCGUAGGCGGCUUUGCAAGUGACGGGUGAAAUCCCUCGGCUUAACAGAUGGGCUGCGGAGGAUACUAUAGAGCUAGGAGGCGGGAGAGGCAAGCGGUACUCAGUGGGUAGGGGUAAAAUCCGUUGAUCCAUUGAAGACCACCAGUGGCGAAGGCGGCUUGCCAGAACGCACUCGACGGUGAGGGAUGAAAGCUGGGGGAGCAAACCGG
rnacentral:rRNA from 1 species